AUCCGCUAUAACUACCUGCUAGAUGUGCUGGAGCGGUCCCCGCACCGGCCCAUCCUGCAGGCCGGGCUCCCGGCCAACACCACAGCCGUGGUGGGCAGUGACGUGGAGCUGCUGUGUAAGGUGUACAGCGAUGCCCAGCCCCACAUCCAGUGGCUGAAGCACAUCGUCAUCAACGGCAGCAGCUUCGGAGCCGACGGUUUCCCCUAUGUGCAAGUCCUAAAACUGCAGACAUCAAUAGCUCAGAGGUGGAGGUCCUGUACCUGCGGAACGUGUCAGCCGAGGAUGCAGGCGAGUACACCUGCCUCGCAGGCAAUUCCAUCGGCCUCUCCUACCAGUCUGCCUGGCUCACGGUGCUGCCAGAGGAGGACCCCACAUGGACCGCAGCAGCGCCCGAGGCCAGGUAUACGGACAUCAUCCUGUACGCGUCGGGCUCCCUGGCCUUGGCUGUGCUCCUACUGCUGGCCGGGCUGUAUCGAGGGCAGGCGCUCCACGACCGGCACCCCCGCCCGCCCGCCACUGUGCAGAAGCUCUCCCGCUUCCCUCUGGCCCGACAGGUACUGGGCGCAUCCCCCACCUCACAUGCGGCAGCCUGAGUCCAGCAGGCAGAACCAAGUCUCCCACUUUGCAGUUCUCCCUGGAGUCAGGCUCUUCCGGCAAGUCAAGCUCAUCCCUAGUACGAGGCGUGCGUCUCUCCUCCAGCGGCCCCGCCUUGCUCGCCG
rnacentral:sRNA from 1 species